UUGAAAAAAAUACAGCACGGAAGAUUGGGGAUGGGAAGGUGAUAUUUUGGGAGGAUAUUUGGUUAAGGGGAGGGAGACUAAGUACAACAUACAACCAAUAGACUGUUUGGGAAUUUAGAACAAAGUUGGUGAGAUGAGAAUCUGAGCGAGAGGGAUUAAUUAGUGUAUGAUGCUUUAGCAAGGUGGAGGAGAUAUUGGUUUGACUGGGACAAACAAUAAUUACUGGAAAACUUUUUGUAUAGAUAUGGAAUGGAGAUAAUAAUUGUGUUUAUAUGCCUCGUUAAGUCAACAGGGGGUCCUAUAAAUACAUCCUUUUUCAAGUGCUUGUAGAACAUCAACAUUUCGUUGAAUGUAUUAGCUUUUGCAUAGAG
rnacentral:lncRNA from 1 species